rnacentral:rRNA from 1 species
AAUGAACGCUGGCGGCGUGCUUUACACAUGCAAGUCGAGCGAGGCGUCCUGCAAGGGGCAGUCGAGCGGCGAACGGGUGAGUAACGCGUGGAUUAUCUGCCCUGAGGUGGGGGAUAACCCGGGGAAACUCGGGCUAAUACCGCAUAUGACCGGGAGGUCAAAGGGGGGUCGCAAGAUCUCUCGCCUUUGGAGGAGUCCGCGUUCGAUUAGCUAGUUGGUAGGGUAAUGGCCUACCAAGGCGACGAUCGGUAGCCGGCCUGAGAGGGUGAUCGGCCACACUGGAACUGAGACACGGUCCAGACUCCUACGGGAGGCAGCAGUGGGGAAUUUUGCGCAAUGGGCUAACGCCUGACGCAGCAACGCCGCGUGGAGGAUGAAGGGUCUUUGGGAUUGUAAACUCCUGUCAGCAGGGAAAAGCGACUUGACCUCACACGUCAGGGAGUUGAUUGUACCUGC